rnacentral:sRNA from 1 species
CCCGCAGCGAUACUGACGUG